GCCGAGGUGAGGUAGUCUGGCAGCCUAGAGGCCUGUGGAGCCUUUUGCUUGGGUUCAAAUCCCAACCUCGGCCCCA
rnacentral:tRNA from 1 species